rnacentral:misc_RNA from 1 species
GAUGAAGAACGUAGCGAAAUGCGAUAAGUAGUGUGAAUUGCAGAAUUCAGUGAAUCAUCGAAUCUUUGAACGCACAUUGCGCCCCUUGGUAUCCCGAGGGGCAUGCCUGUUCGAGCGUCAUUAUCACCCCUCAAGCCCGGCUUGUUGUUGGAUGCAGCGCUUAUCCCGCUCCUCCCAAAGAUAAUGACGGCGUCUGCGACGACUCCUGUACACUGAGCUUUCGGGCACGUACACGGCUAGAAGUCCAGACCCGGUCGCCGUCCCCCCCGCGGGGACACCCAUUACCACAAGGUUGACCUCGGAUCAGGUAGGAAUACCCGCUGAACUUAAGCAUAUCAAUAAGCGGAGGA